AGUGAACGCUGGCGGUAGGCCUAACACAUGCAAGUCGAACGGCAGCACAGUAAGAGCUUGCUCUUACGGGUGGCGAGUGGCGGACGGGUGAGGAAUACAUCGGAAUCUACUUUUUCGUGGGGGAUAACGUAGGGAAACUUACGCUAAUACCGCAUACGACCUACGGGUGAAAGCAGGGGAUCUUCGGACCUUGCGCGAUUGAAUGAGCCGAUGUCGGAUUAGCUAGUUGGCGGGGUAAAGGCCCACCAAGGCGACGAUCCGUAGCUGGUCUGAGGGGAUGAUCAGCCACACUGGAACUGAGACACGGUCCAGACUCCUACGGGAGGCAGCAGUGGGGAAUAUUGGACAAUGGGCGCAAGCCUGAUCCAGCCAUACCGCGUGGGUGAAGAAGGCCUUCGGGUUGUAAAGCCCUUUUGUUGGGAAAGAAAAGCAGCAGGUUAAUACCCCGCUGUUCUGACGGUACCCAAAGAAUAAGCACCGGCCAACUUCGUG
rnacentral:rRNA from 1 species